AAGUCGUAACAAGGUUUCCGUAGGUGAACCUGCGGAAGGAUCAUUACAAAUCCAUCCACGUCUCAUUUCUUGAGACCACGUUGAAAUGUUCCCUAGUGUGUGUCUCCCCUCCCUCCCUCUCUGCUGCCACCUUCAGCCUUCACCGGCCGUCUGUGUCUUGGGGUGGGGUGGGUCUGGCUGGCAACACACUAGGCUUGUAAACUAGUACUAUCUGUUGCUCAAUUGUAUCUUUCUUGAUUGUAAUGAUCAAGGUAAAAACAAAGUACAACUUAUAACAAUGGAUCUCUAGGCUCUU
rnacentral:misc_RNA from 1 species